AACGCCGCGUGAGUGAAGAAGGUCUUAGGAUUGUAAAGCUCUGUCCUUAGGGAAGAACCGUGGGUAUAGCAAAUGAUACCCAUCUGACGGUACCUUUGGAGGAAGCACUGGCUAACUACGUGCCAGCCACCUCGGUGACUGAGCGGGCUGGCAAGGCGCAUA
rnacentral:rRNA from 1 species